UACUGCUUCUUUGUAUAGGAC
rnacentral:piRNA from 1 species